rnacentral:rRNA from 1 species
UACGUAGGGUGCAAGCGUUGUCCGGAAUUAUUGGGCGUAAAGAGCUCGUAGGCGGUUUGUCGCGUCUGCUGUGAAAACCCGGGGCUCAACCCCGGGCCUGCAGUCGAUACGGGCAGACUAGAGUGCGGUAGGGGAGACUGGAAUUCCUGGUGUAGCGGUGAAAUGCGCAGAUAUCAGGAGGAACACCGGUGGCGAAGGCGGGUCUCUGGGCCGUAACUGACGCUGAGGAGCGAAAGCGUGGGGAGCGAUCCGG